rnacentral:lncRNA from 1 species
AUGGAUGAACCUUGAAAACAUUGUGUUAAGUGAAAUAAGCCAGACUCAAAGGGACAAAUAUUGUGUAAUUUCACUUAAUGAACACGAAUAAUCUUUAUAACAUUAAACAUUGCAAAACCCAAAUGCAAAAUAGUCCUAUUUAACAUAAAGUCUUUCAUAUUGUUCUGUUCUGCCAUCCUUCUAUACAUUUGCCCAGACAGGACAGCAACAAGGAAAGAAUAUGUAAACACUAAUCAUUUCUAACUUGCCAUCUGUGACAGUUCACUGUGCUGAAAUUAGAAAGGAUGGAAUCACUUUUCCAUUUCCUUAAGGUCACCAAGGACAGACAAGCUCAGGACAUACUGUAUUUGUCAGAAGAAAAAGAGAUGACUGGUGAGGUGGCAGUGACAAAUCUGUUCUAGGUUCAGCUCAUUUUACUGAAGAAUGUGUGUCCCCUUCUGACAUUUAUCAAAAGAAAUUCAAUUUUAUAAAAAGAAGGAUGUCAAAUAAUAGUACAUUGCUAACACUCAUUUUGUUGCUGUCAGAAGGGCAGAUGGGGGCAAAAAGGGAAAAGGGUGGAUGGAAGAGAAAGUUAUUCCAGCAAGAAACAAACAAAGUCAUGCUAAUAAUACACUUAUAGGCUUGAAUAUAUUUCUGAUUAAAACACCUAUUUUUGAGAUCCAUCUUAGUGCCUGGCUCACACUUUAGAAUACCAGUUUUCACUUCUUCCAGACAGAAGGAACGACACAAAGCAGGUUGAUUUGUGGGUUUUGUGUUUGUUUUUGGUUUUGUAUUUUGUUAUUGUUUGAGUGCCAUUCUGCUGCACCAGGAAGGAAAGAAAGCUAAUGAAACCUGGUAAAACCCCAGGUACAAUGACAUGCACCCUGUGGGCAUGCAAUCAAUAGUUCUUAUGGUGAUGAUGAUGUUUUUCUCUGGCAGAAAAGGGUAUUUUGGGUCAAAAAAUAACCCAAAAGUUGUGACAGAGGUAACGGAAAAAUAGAAGUCAGAUUAAAAUCAAAGGAAGAAAUUCUAACCCAAAAGUUGUGACAGAGGUAACGGAAAAAUAGAAGUCAGAUUAAAAUCAAAGGAAGAAAUUCUAUCAGGAGACUAAUAAUGAAGCUGACAAUAUACUGUAACAAGUAAUAGUGUUUUACCAUACUGCAUAAAAAUAUUGGAUUAAGAUACAAAUUAAAUCUCUUUCUCAGUGAGGGUUUUCUGCAGAACAUAAACAAUUAAGCUGCUUUCUGGAGAAGACAGGAAACUUGAUUAACAGAUCCAAAAAGACAGCAUAGGGAAGAUGGGUUUAACACUAGGAGGUGAAACACCAACUGUUAUCCAAAUUGACUUUUCCAGAAACGUUGGAUAAUUUCAAUCAAGGACUGAAAUAUACUCUUUUCUUUUUAAGCGUCAGUGUUCUCUGGACUUAAACAAGUCAAAGGAGGUUCUUAUUAAAUAAAUGCUACUGGUGCAUAUGUUCCAGUCACAGUCUCCUGAGGUGAGUAUGGAGACACUACAGAAAAUUGAACCAUGAAAUAGGGUUUUGUGUCUCUAUACCAAAAUUUCAAAUAUCUGGAGGUGUCCUAGCUCAUGGUGGCUAAGCAGGCAGCUUGUGGGAGUACAGGAGGCUACAGGAGACGCCAGGAGUAAAACGACCUAUUCUGAGUCCUGUAGUCUCUGUAAGGUGCCUAUUUGAUGCAAUCUAAGACAGUCUUAUUUAGAAUAGGGACCCUUAGAAGCUGCUAAUAUAAGUCAAAGAAACAAAUACUUCUGUGCAUUUUUCCCCACAAAUAAGGGAUUGUCCUAAACCUCUAAGCAUUAAACCAGGAAUCCAGUAAAAACCAGGCUUAUUGUACUCCAAUCCCCAACUCACGUACUGUCUUAGAGAUUUUCAGACACAAGGUGCUAAAAGUUAUAUAGCAUAUUUUAAAAUUUAUCUGUUAUCAAGUGCCUUUCAUUGAACAAAAAAAAAAUCAAAUUCAAUAGUACAUAAACAAGAUCUUUCUGCUCCUUCUUGGAAGAUUUUUAGGAGAAUUAAAGUCAUAGAGACAAUCAUCUACAUGCCAUUAAUAUUGUCAUCUUCACAUAUUAUUACCAGUAUUAUUACCAGCACAGCUUUCAAGGUUUGAAAUUUUGCAUUGGGCUGGCCUUAACAUUUGGACAAAUCCUUUUUAAAUAUAGGGAAUAAAUAAUAAAUUUAAAAAUAAAAUACGUUAAUAUGCAAUUUUUUUUUUUUGAGACUGAGUCUCACACUGUCACCUGGGCUGGUGUGCAGUGGCACCAUCUUGACUUACUGCAACCUCCGCCUCCCAGGUUCAAGCAAUUCUCUUGCCUCAGCCUCCCAAGUAGCUGGAUUGCAGGUGCCUGCCACCACGCCCGGCUAAUUUUUUGUAUUUUUUAGUAGAGAUGGGGUUUCACCAUGUUGGCCAGGCUAGUCUUGAACCCCUGACCUUGUGAUUCUCCUGCCUCGGACUCCCAAAGUGCUAGAAUUACAG